rnacentral:rRNA from 1 species
UACGUAGGGUGCAAGCGUUAAUCGGAAUUACUGGGCGUAAAGCGUGCGCAGGCGGUUCUAUAAGACAGAUGUGAAAUCCCCGGGCUCAACCUGGGAACUGCAUUUGUGACUGUAGAGCUGGAGUACGGUAGAGGGGGAUGGAAUUCCGCGUGUAGCAGUGAAAUGCGUAGAUAUGCGGAGGAACACCGAUGGCGAAGGCAAUCCCCUGGACCUGUACUGACGCUCAUGCACAAAAGCGUGGGGAGCAAACAGG